GACGAAGGUGGCGAGCGUUGUUCGGAAUCACUGGGCAUAAAGCGCACGUAGGCGGCGACGUAAGUUGGGUGUGAAACUCCCUCGGCCCCAACCGAGGAACUGCGCCCAGUACUGCGUUGCUUGAGGAUCCAAGGGGUGCAUGGAAUUCCCGUGGAGCGGUGAAAUGCGUUGAUAUCGGGAGGAACUCCGGCGGCGAAAGCGGUGCACUGGUGGAUACUGACGCUGAGGUGCGAAAGCCAGGGGAGCAAACGGG
rnacentral:rRNA from 1 species